CUCACAUGCCCGCAUGAUCUGUUAGGACCCUAUUUCAGGGGUUGGGGCCCAAGCAGUCCCGAGGGCAGAGCGAGGGCUGAGGGCAGGGCGAGGGCUGAGUGCGGGGGUGAGGGCUGAGGGCAGUGGCUGGUGGUUUCUGGCCUGGCUGCCUCUCCUGUUCCCGCCAGGAGGAAGACGAGGUCUGCAUGGCCCCGCGCGGCUCUCAGAGCUCAGAAGAGGGCAGCUUCUCGCAGGUGUCCACCAUGGCCCUACACAUCGUCCAGGCUGACGCUGAGGACAGCCCACCAAGCCUGCAGCGCCACAGCCUGGCCGCCAGGUAUUACAACUGGGUGUCCUUUCCCGGGUGCCUGGCCAGAGGGGCUCAGACCCGUGGUUCCUCCAGGAUGAAGACAUUUGAGGAAUUCCCCAUGACCCCAACAACCUACAAAGCCUCUGUGGACAACCAGACAGACAGUGGGAUGGUGCUGGCCUCGGAGGAGUUUGAGCAGAUAGAGAGCAGGCAUAGACAAGAAAGCGGCUUCAGCUGUAAAGGACCUGGCCAGAAUGUGGAUGUGACCAGGGCACACCCUGACUCCCAAGGGAGGCGGCGGCGGCCUGACCGGGGGGCCCGAGGAGGCCAGGUGUUUUACAACAGCGAGUAUGGGGAGCUGUCGGAGCCAAGCAAGGAGGACCACUGCUCCCCAUCUGCCCGCGUGACUUUCUUCACAGACAACAGCUACUAAGCAGCAUCGGACAAGACCCCCAGCACUUGGGGGUUCAGGCCCGGCAGGGCGGGCAGAGGGCUGGAGGCCCAGGUUGGGAACUCAUCUGGUUUAACUCUGGUGG
rnacentral:sRNA from 1 species